rnacentral:lncRNA from 1 species
AGCGCGGCCUGAUUGGCCCUUUGAACCGGGCGUGGGAUUGGCCGUCGCCUGCCCACCCCGCGGCUGCAGCGUUCCCUGGGGCCUAGCCAACCGCGGGCAGGGCUGGGCAAGGCGGGAGGAGCGCGGACCCAAGAUCGGCUACGCUGCGUCUGCUCAGGCUGCGAGUUCCCGGCUCUGGGGACUCACCUUGCGGAGCUUACCCAGGCGGACUCUCCGCAGCCCCUGAUGGAAAUUUUCUAAUCCCGUGGCGAACCCCCGUACUUCAACGUAUGACAUUCUGUAAAUCUACAAAACAGAUGGGUCCCUGCCUUUGAGAAGUUUUUACAAUUUAGUGGGUACUGGACACGGACCUAAUUUAAUUCUCACAUGCCUUCCCUUUCUAAUAAGCUGCAUGUUAUGUAUCCCUAUUCUACAGAUGUGGGGAAUCCGAAAUUUUUAGCUUUUACUGGGACACACAGCUAGCAAGCAACUAAAGCGAGAAUUCCAACCUGAGCUCCAAUCCGAACUAUUUUCAUAAAAGGCAGGAUCCCAGGCUGAGGGAGUUCGAGGUUUGGGAGACAGUUUAGCAGUCGCUGAGUCCAAACAUGUUGUUUUCCUAGAAAAGAAAACUGAGAUCCAGGAAAGGGAAGUGAUUUUCCAAAGACACACCUGUGAAAGCAGCCGUGUUGAACCAUGAAAGGACCUCAGGAAUGAAACCCACACACAGCAAAGCAACAAAGUGAAAGAAGCGUGGAUUCCUAAUGCAGGAGGCACUGAACCAAUCAAUACCCACUGCCCUCCAGACCUCCACAUGAAAGAAAAAAACUGCUGUCCUGUGAAGAAGACACUCCCCAGAUGCCAGCAACUUGAUAUUGGACUUCCUGCCUUUAGAAACAUUCCUUUAAGCCUCUCUGAAACUUGACCCUCUGGCAGGAACAGGUGCCAUUACAUACAGACACUCUCUCUCUUCCAAAUUCACCCUGUCAUAUCAAAGGGAAAACUGAAGUGGUCCACUGUAGACCUGACAGAUGAUCACAAACAGGAAACCAGCAAUCAGAAGUGCCUACUGAGCUCCCUACCCUGACCAUCACCUACAGCUACAUUUUACAGAUACAAAAUCAUUGUUUGUUCAACUUUCAUAUCAAAGGAUGCUAUUAGUUCAUUUCCAAAGGUGGGAAAAUGUUUCAACUUACUUUAUUACUUGUCUGCUACUUACUAUUUUCCCUCCGUUUGCCUGCCUGACUUCUUUUAACUCUUCACUCAACAAAUAUCUACUGACUACUGAGCACUUGCCAAGUGCUAGGCCAGAGCUGGAUGCUGUACUACGGGCAGAUGAAGUGCUAUGGGCAUCCAGAGGUGGAAGAAGAGGGUAUAGCGAAAGGGGAGAAAAGGCUGCAACAAUAUUCACUGAGCCCUGUGCUCCCAGGUCAUCACAUAGACUAUGUCAUUAUUCCUCCUAACCACCCACAUGAGUAAAUAGGGGCUAUUACUGAAGAAACAGAGGCUUACAAAGGUUGAGCAACUUGCCCAAGGUCAUCUAUCACAAGACACUACAAGUCAGACUGCUGAAGAGGGAGUUUCUGCUGAGAAGCUGAAGUGGGCAGCUCAUAUUGGAUAUGAAGGCUUCAAAGGAAUCUAAAUCCUAAUGAUCCCUCUAGAGCCAACAUGCAGCACCAGUUUUCUCUUCCACAUUUGAACUGCUCAUCCACUUCCGGCUCCAAGACCUCACUCUCCAUCUAAACUAGUCCCACGCCAUCCAUAUCUUUCUCCACUAACGCCACCCAAUCACAACCCCACAGCCUCUUAGUCAUGAGUCAUUUUUUAAAAACUGCAAACCAUGUAAUGAGCCAUGGCAAUAUGCAACCCUAAACCUCAACACGUGUUUUCCACAACAAGGCCACAGGUGGCAGAAGCGAGCCUAAGGCCGUAGGACACUAAGGCAGGACUCUCUGGCUUGAGCUUUCCAAAAAGGGAGGUGAGAGAAGGUCUACCUGCGGGAAGUCAUGCUGAAGGCCUGAGGCUGAGUCAAAGAAGGAGCCCCCUGGAGGCUCUGCAGUUCCUGGACUUCAGGUAGAGGAACUCUGCCAUGAACACCUCUGGAAUCGUGUCAUUUUGGGACAAUUAGAGAAUAUCAGUUUUCAGACUGAGUUCUAUGGGAAGGUGCCUGCACAACAAAGGAGAGACGGAAUGGACUUCAGGUCUUCCAAAAUACCCCUCAUGUUCACCAAGUUGCUCUCUGCUCUAAGAUACCAGAUGAGGGGGCCAGUGGGGACUGAAACCCAGUCCCCAGUCUGCUGGCCAAUCCCUUUGCCUGUGAGGCUGCUCUGUCCUACCAGAGAGGGCACUUUUCAUAAUUUGCACCAAGUACAGAAUAGGAUAGUGUAGCUUUACCCUUCUCCCUACCAUCAACCACAGACACAUCAACACAUGCACACAUACAGCCACACAAAUAUACCUACAGGCAUACACAUACAACACAGGCACAUACAUGUUUGCACAAAGUCACAUGUAGACACAAACGCAGAGCACACAGACACAAACACAGGCACAAACCCAUACUUACACUACACACACACACAAACACACACAGACACACAAAUGCAAAUUAAGCCACAAUGUAGCACAUAGAGAUAUAGACACAGACGCAAAUACAGUCACAUAGAGAUAUAGACACACACUUAUACACACAUAUAUGUAAAUAUACAGUCUCAUUCACUUUAUACCACACAUGUAUAAACAUACACAAUUGUAUGUAGACACACAUACACAUAGGUACUCAGACCGCAUAGAUACAUAUGUACACACAUACAAAUAUAUGCACAUACACAGAUAUAUAUAUACACACAUGCAUCUUUAACCAGAACAACUUUACUUUUGUCAGUUUUAUAUGACAGAGUCUUUAAAAAAAGAUUUCAUCUGGCUUGUGUUCUACUAUUAAAAGA